UACGAAGGGGGCUAGCGUUGUUCGGAAUUACUGGGCGUAAAGCGCACGUAGGCGGACAUUUAAGUCAGGGGUGAAAUCCCAGAGCUCAACUCUGGAACUGCCUUUGAUACUGGGUGUCUUGAGUAUGGAAGAGGUGAGUGGAAUUCCGAGUGUAGAGGUGAAAUUCGUAGAUAUUCGGAGGAACACCAGUGGCGAAGGCGGCUCACUGGUCCAUUACUGACGCUGAGGUGCGAAAGCUAGGGGAGCGAACGGG
rnacentral:rRNA from 1 species